CCUUCGGGGGGCAGCAGUGAGGAAUAUUGGUCAAUGGGCGGGAGCCUGAACCAGCCAAGUCGCGUGAGGGAAGACGGUCCUAUGGAUUGUAAACCUCUUUAGGCGGGGAGCAAUGCCGGGCACGCGUGCCCGGAGGGAGAGUACCCGCAGAAUAAGCAUCGGCUAACUCCGUGCCAGCAGCCGCGGUAAUACGGAGGAUGCGAGCGUUAUCCGGAUUUAUUGGGUUUAAAGGGUGCGUAGGCGGAUUUUUAAGUCAGCGGUAAAAUGUCCGGGCUCAACCCGGGCCGGCCGUUGAGACUGGGGAUCUUGAGUGGGCGAGAAGUAUGCGGAAUGCGUGGUGUAGCGGUGAAAUGCGUAGAUAUCGAGAGGAACACUCGUGGCGAAGGCGGGUUCCUGGACAUUAACUGACGCUGAGGCACGAAGGCCAGGGGAGCGAAAGGGAUUAGAUACCCGAGUAGUC
rnacentral:rRNA from 1 species